AUUGAACGCUGGCGGCAUGCCUUACACAUGCAAGUCGAACGGCAGCACGGGGGCAACCCUGGUGGCGAGUGGCGAACGGGUGAGUAAUAUAUCGGAACGUACCCUGGAGUGGGGGAUAACGCAGCGAAAGUUGCGCUAAUACCGCAUACGAUCUACGGAUGAAAGUGGGGGAUUCGCAAGAACCUCAUGCUCGUGGAGCGGCCGAUAUCUGAUUAGCUAGUUGGUAGGGUAAAAGCCUACCAAGGCAUCGAUCAGUAGCUGGUCUGAGAGGACGACCAGCCACACUGGAACUGAGACACGGUCCAGACUCCUACGGGUGGCUG
rnacentral:rRNA from 1 species